rnacentral:misc_RNA from 1 species
AGUCGUAACAAGGUUUCCGUAGGUGAACCUGCGGAAGGAUCAUUACCGAGUGAGGGCCCUCUGGGUCCAACCUCCCACCCGUGUUUAUUUUACCUUGUUGCUUCGGCGGGCCCGCCUUUACUGGCCGCCGGGGGGCUCACGCCCCCGGGCCCGCGCCCGCCGAAGACACCCUCGAACUCUGUCUGAAGAUUGUAGUCUGAGUGAAAAUAUAAAUUAUUUAAAACUUUCAACAACGGAUCUCUUGGUUCCGGCAUCGAUGAAGAACGCAGCGAAAUGCGAUACGUAAUGUGAAUUGCAAAUUCAGUGAAUCAUCGAGUCUUUGAACGCACAUUGCGCCCCCUGGUAUUCCGGGGGGCAUGCCUGUCCGAGCGUCAUUGCUGCCCUCAAGCACGGCUUGUGUGUUGGGCCCCGUCCUCCGAUUCCGGGGGACGGGCCCGAAAGGCAGCGGCGGCACCGCGUCCGGUCCUCGAGCGUAUGGGGCUUUGUCACCCGCUCUGUAGGCCCGGCCGGCGCUUGCCGAUCAACCCAAAUUUUUAUCCAGGUUGACCUCGGAUCAGGUAGGGAUACCCGCUGAACUUAAGCAUA